rnacentral:rRNA from 1 species
AGAGUGAACGCUGGCGGUAGGCCUAACACAUGCAAGUCGAACGGCAGCACAGUAGGAGCUUGCUCUUACGGGUGGCGAGUGGCGGACGGGUGAGGAAUACAUCGGAAUCUACCUUUUGGUGGGGGAUAACGUAGGGAAACUUACGCUAAUACCGCAUACGCCCUUCGGGGGAAAGCCGGGGACCAGCAAUGGCCUGGCGCUGAUAGAUGAGCCGAUGUCGGAUUAGCUAGUUGGUGAGGUAAUGGCUCACCAAGGCGACGAUCCGUAGCUGGUCUGAGAGGAUGAUCAGCCACACUGGAACUGAGACACGGUCCAGACUCCUACGGGAGGCAGCAGUGGGGAAUAUUGGACAAUGGGCGAAAGCCUGAUCCAGCCAUGCCGCGUGUGUGAAGAAGGUCUUCGGAUUGUAAAGCAACUUUAAAGUUGGGAAGGAGGGUUGUAACCUAAGUACGUUGCAACUUUGACGUUACCGACAGAAUAAGCACCGGCUAACUUCGUAG